rnacentral:rRNA from 1 species
CUCGCAGUCAAGGGUGGGACAAAUGAUUGGGGUGAAGUCGUAACAAGGUAGCCGUAUCGGAAGGUGCGGCUGGAUCACCUCCUUUCUAAGGA